CUUUUCAAAAAUUGUUGGAGAUGGUAACCCUGCAAUUACCAAAGCUAAAAAAGUGUAGCCAAAUUUGAAAUACCACUGUCAUAAAUGGCCGAAAUAUCCCAAGCGAAGAGGGAGACGAAACUAAAUUUAAGCCAACAUCUUCAUUUUGUUUAUUUUUGUUGUUUUGCUUAAUGUCAUUUUUAUAUAAAUAGGCCCUUCUGGUCAUUGUUUAUUCCCUUUUUUGUUAGAACCCAAAAAUAAAGAAUAAACAACUAAACUCACUAUUUGUAAACAAACAAACCAAAUAAACGCCGCUUUUUAUUUUGCCGAAAUCCUGCCAGUCUUGUCAUUUGGGAGCCAGCCGAGUUUAGGUUUAUUCCUGGAAAAUAACAAAAAAGGACAACUUUAUUCUUUGUUUAUUUGUUUUAUGCCAAUUUAAUUUCUGUCGUCAAUUGUCUUGUUGAAUUUGUGUUUAUUGUUGCUGUUUAUUAAAACGGACGGACAUUUUAUAAAAACAGCUGUCACCACUUUAAGUCACAAAAAAAAAAAAAAAAAAAUUCUUACCUGUAUUCAAGAAAUUCUGCCGGUUUUAUGCCACAAAAUUAAGAUCUAACCAGAAGAACCAGUGGACGCAGCACUCAAGGAAUUCCGCCAGCCCGAUAUAACCCUGACACUUACGAUAUGUCUGUCGUUCGCUCACCAACAGGAGAUACGCCUACCAGCAGCCACCAAAAACAGCAACAAAUGCCAGCUGCAGACGCAGCAGUCAAUACACCGCCCGCCAAUACUUCUAAAUCUUCUUCUUCUCAGUUACAGCUCCAAAAACCGCCUUCAAAUACACCAGCCAAAACACCAAAUCGUGCAAAUGAAUUAGCCGAGAUGAGAAAACUUAUGAAAUUUGAAAUGGAACAGAUGCAACGUCAGAUGAAAGCAAUGCAAGACGAAUUUUUAGCAGCACAAGCAAAAAUGCAAGCACAACUAUUAAAUACGUCACAGCAGUUUGCUUCUUUGCAAAACACAAUGUCGCAGCAAGCAUUGCCUACACUGACGUCACAACCACCAAUUUUCUCAAACCAAACGACACAACAACCGCCAUUGAAUACGCCGCAACAGCCACAAAGGAAUCUGCCACCACAGCCGCCAUUGAAUCUGCCACCACAGCCGCCAUUGAGUCUGCCGCCACAGCCGCCAUUGAAUCUGCCAUUACAUUCAGUAGUUUUGCCACCACAAACAGUACCGCCAACAACAAGUCAACAGUUGCAGACUCAAGUGCAUCAACUGCCGCCAUUGUCUAUCAACACAGAUGAGUCUUUUCCAAAUUCACUUUCAAAUAACUCCAACGGAAAUGCACAUAAAAAAAUUUAUCCCUUGCCUUUUUUUCAGGUCUUCCAGAGGAGUGGCAGGCAUUUUUCGAAGAAUACGAGAGCACCACAACCGAAUUUGGUUACUCCAAUCUCCAUAACAUCAUGCGUUUGAGAGACGCAUUGAAGGGCCGAGCAAGGGAAACAGUGGAAUCCAUGUUGGGGAGUUCUGCCAACGUCAGCGCCAUUUUGGAAAUUCUGCAGGAAACAUUUGGUCGACCAGAGCAACUUAUCCGAAGCCAAGUAGAAAAAGUCCGAGCCAUUCCACCGCUGGCAGAUGAUAAUUUGGAUGCACUUGUCAACUUUGCCAACAAACUCUCCAAUAUGGCCACUUUCCUAAAAAACGCCAAGGGUGAACACCAUCUAUCCAAUCCAUCGUUGCUGAGUGAGCUAGUGUCCAAACUGCCGAUAAACCGCCAAAUGCAAUGGGCCAAAAAAUGUCUGCAACUCCAGCACCCCGCCACUAUAGUUGAUUUCAGCGAUUGGUUGGGAAUAUUACGCCGUCUCGCACAUAUGGUCCACGACACACAGCCAAUUUCAGCAACCUCGUCCAAUCGCCGACACACACAAACACAACAAAAAAAAUACGCAUAUGUCGCUGUCAGUUCGAGCUGUCCAAUUUGUCAGGGAGAGUGCAACAAUAUAAAAAUCUGUCCACACUUUUUAAAAAUGGCCAUCGAUGACCGAUGGAAUAAAAUUAAACAAAUUAAAACUUGUUUUUGUUGCUUAAAGAGAGGCCACCAACUUAAAAAUUGCCACAAUAAGCGUCGUUGUGGCAUAAAUGAUUGCCAAAAAUUACACCACCAAUUGUUGCACAAAACACUCGCGACGCCAUCCCAGGAACCGAACCGAACAUUAUCCACACACGAUUUGGAGCCACGAACGAACACCCCAUCUCUUCCCGACGCACCGCCGUCUCAAACACAACGAAGAAAUUGUCAUGCCGCCCACUACACCGAAAACGUACUGUUCCAGAUUUUGCCCGUGACGCUAUACGGAACACACAAACAAAUAACGACGUACGCGUUCAUUGACGACGGCGCCAAUGUGUCCAUGCUGGACGAGGACGUUGCUCGCGAACUCGGAGUACACGGGAAACCGGAGAUUUUAGAAAUUCAGUGGCUUAAUUACCAAAACAUAAACGAAAAAACAGAAAAAAUUAAUUUGACAAUUAGUGGUGUCGGUGAGUACAACAAGUACCCGAUAACCAAUGUUUACAUUUCGUCCAAUCUGUCAUUGCCAAUACAGAGUUGCCAUCUGGCUCAUUUAAUUAAAUCCCGUGAAAUCGACCAAAUCGCCGAAAUCCCAUUCCGGGAUUAUUCGAAUGUUCAACCUAAACUAAUAUUAAGCUUGCAACAUUCAUUUUUAACAGUUCCCUUGGAAGCUCCUCGUAUGAUGACCGAUGUUGGACCAAUCAUUACCCUAACGAGAUUAGGCGCCGUAAUUUAUGGACCGAUCCCAGGCGAGAAGAGUUCCAAUCUUAAGCGGGCUUUACACGUUAGAAACGUUUCGAGGAAGAAAAUUGUGACUUGCUUCAGAAAAUGCAUACCAUGAUGCGGCAAUAUUUCGACGUGGAGACAUUGGGUACCAAAGUAAAUGUGACACCAAUUCUGUCCAUAGAUGAUGAACGAGCGUUAAACAUAUUGAGAGAAAACACGAAAAGAAUUGAUGGGCGAUAUCAGUGUCCGCUUUUGUGGAAAGAACAUUUUUCUCCAAUUCCAGAAUCGUACAAUUUGUCGUACAACCGAUUGCAGUGUGUGGAACGAAAAAUGGCAAAGGACAGUGUAUAUGCAGCUCAAUAUUGCAAAAAGAUAAGAGACUACGAGGAAAAAGGAUAUUGCCGUAAACUUUCAGUAGCAGAACGAGAAAGAAGGAGCGACCGAACGUUUUAUUUGCCACAUUUAGGCGUUAAAAAUCCCAACAAAGAUGGAAUUCGUAUCGUCUUCGAUGCUGCUGCUGAAGUUCAACAAUUUUCAUUAAAUAAAGCCUUAUUACCUGGACCUGACAUAAAUAACUCUUUAAUCUCUAUUCUUUUUAAAUUCAGGGAAUUUCCUGUAGCCGUGUGCGAAGAUAUACAAGAGAUGUUCCACCAAAUUGUAAUCGCCAAAGAAGAUCAGGACAGUCAGCGAUUUCUAUGGAGAAAUGGGGAUCCCAGUCAACCCUUAGAAACUUAUGUAAUGGAACGGAUGAUUUUUGGAGCCACUUGUUCGCCCACCAUAGCCCAAUAUGUGAAAAACCUAAAUGCCCGAAGGUUUAUAAAUGAGUCGCCAAGAGCAGUACAAGGAAUCAUCGAUCGUCAUUACGUAGACGAUUACGUCGACUGUUUCCAGACUGAAGGUGAGGCAGUUGAAGUGGUACGUGAUGGUGGGUGGAUUUAAUCUCCGCAACAUCAAGUCUAAUUCCCUUGUUUUACAACCCUAUUUAUGUUUGGCAACCCUAUUUCUGAUGAAAGUGAUGGCAACUCCAUUUUUGAUGAUGGAAUGGAACGGGUACUCGGUAUUCAUUGGCUGCCAAAAUCAGAUGUUUUUUGUUUUGAAUUAAAAUUGCACAAAGUGGAUGAAAAAAUAUUGAAAUUGCAAAAAGUGCCAACGAAACGCGAAAUGUUGUCUUUAAAUAUGUCCGUAUUCGAUCCAUUCGGGUUUCUUGGUGAUUUUAUGGUGACGUCGAAGAUAAUUAUGCAAAAUGUGUGGAAAAGUGGUAUAAAGUGGAACGAGGAGUUGCCGGCCGCGAUUUAUAGCCGCUGGAAGACCUGGCUGGAGGAAUUGCCUAAUUUAAAGGAUUUCAAAGUUCCGCGGUGUUACAGUGAUGGAUUUUUUAAUUGUAUAGUAGAUUUGCAUGUGUUUGUGGAUGCCAGUGAAGAUGCAAUGGCUGCUGUGGCAUACUGGCGUAUAGUAACAAAUUGUGGUGUAAGUGUUGUGUUCGUUAUGGGCAAGACGAGCUGUGCCCCAACAAGAUACCAUACUAUACCUAAGCUUGAGUUGCAAGCAGCAGUAAUUGGAGUGCGAAUGAAGGAAAAAAUUUUGGAAAAUCAUUUGAAGAAUAUUAAUAACAUUUAUUUUUGGUCACUGUUGAGGAAACAGUGAUAAGUUGGAUCCGUUCAGAACACCGUACAUACAAACAAUAUGUGGCAAAUAGAGUGUCGGAGAUUCUGGAAAGCAGCCGUAUGGAGCAGUGGCGGUGGUGUCCAGGAGCGGAAAACCCAGCUGACGAAGGGACCCGUGCUAAAGGACCCAAGAAGUACCAGCCAGAAGGACGUUGGGUUUCUUGGUGAUUUUAUGGUGACGUCGAAGAUAAUUAUGCAAAAUGUGUGGAAAAGUGGUAUAAAGUGGGACGAGGAGUUGCCGGCCGCGAUUUAUAGCCGCUGGAAGACCUGGCUGGAGGAAUUGCCUAAAUUAAAGGAUUUCAAAGUUCCGAGGUGUUACAGUGAUGGAUUUUUUAAUGGUAUAGUAGAUUUGCAUGUGUUUGUGGAUGCCAGUGAAGAUGCAAUGGCUGCUGUGGCAUACUGGCGUAUAGUAACAAAUUGUGGUGUAAGUGUUGUGUUCGUUAUGGGCAAGACGAGCUGUGCCCCAACAAGAUACCAUACUAUACCUAAGCUUGAGUUGCAAGCAGCAGUAAUUGGAGUGCGAAUGAAGGAAAACAUUUUGGAAAAUCAUUUGAAGAAUAUUAAUAACAUUUAUUUUUGGUCAGAUUCCUCAACAGUGAUAAGUUGGAUCCGUUCAGAACACCGUACAUACAAACAAUAUGUGGCAAAUAGAGUGUCGGAGAUUCUGGAAAGCAGCCGUAUGGAGCAGUGGCGGUGGUGUCCAGGAGCGGAAAACCCAGCUGACGAAGGGACCCGUGCUAAAGGACCCAAGAAGUACCAGCCAGAAGGACGUUGAAAAAAUGGGCCAGAAUUCCUGAGAAAAGAAGAGAAGUAUUGGCCGGACGAGGGACAAAUUGGAACCUGUGUGGAUCACAGCAAAACAGAGCUAAGAAACAAAUACAAAGUUUUGGUGGCUUGCCAGGUAUGUUUUUGUAUUCCAGAUAUUAAUAGAUUUUCAAAAUAUCGUAGGCUGAAACGGGCAAUGGCGUGGAUAUUCCGAUUCGUUGAAAAUAUGAAGAGGAAAUCAGUGGUGUCGGGUGAUUUGACGGUGGAAGAAGAAGCACGGGCGGAAAUGUAUCUCUGUCGCUGCGUACAGCAAGAAGUAUAUGGGGAUGAAAUUCUUGACAUACAGAGAACUGGAUCAGUGUCUGCCAACAGCUCCAUAAAGUCUUUAAAUCCACAAAUUGGAAGUGAUGGUUUGCUUCGGGUAUCUGGAAGAAUAGAAAAUGCUUUUUUGUCCCUGGAUACCAGACGACCAAUAAUUCUACACAAAGGUCAUCGUUUUACACUUUUGCUGGUGGAAUUUUACCAUUCUCGUUUUUGUCACAUAAAUGUUGCCACUACAAUGAGCGAAAUUCGUCUGCGAUUUUGGAUUCCGUCACUUCGUCAACUUCCAAGAAGCGUUCAGUUCCGAUGUCUUGUCUGCAAGAUUCGUAGGGCCAAACCAAUUCAACCACAAAUGGCCCCGUUACCCUUGGAACGUGUCACACCUUAUGUCAGAGCCUUUACCUACACAGGACUUGACUAUUUUGGUCCUGUAACAGUGUCAAUCCGGAGACAACGAGAAAAAAGGUGGGUGGCACUGUUUACAUGCCUUACAGUUCGCGCUGUCCACUUGGAAAUUGCAACAGACCUGUCGAGUGAUUCCUGCCUAAUGUGUAUUCGGAACUUCAUCAAUCGAAGAGGCGUCCCAGAGAUGAGAAGAAGCGACAAUGGGACGAAUUUCGUUGGCAUAGCAAAGGAGCUGCAAGGUAUAACCAAUUUUUUAGACACUAAUUCCGUUUCUUCUGGUCUGACAGCUCUUGGAAUAAAAUGGGUCUACAAUACGCCAGUGAAUCCCAGCGAAGGCGGAGUAUGGGAGCGUCUUGUCCAAUCUGUUAAAAAGGCUCUUUACAUCAUGCUAAAGGAGCAAGCCCCAAAACUGGAGACUCUACAAGCGUUCCUGAUUGAAGCGGAGAAUAUGGUCAACAGCAGGCCACUUACAUAUUUGCCAGUUACUCCAGAAGACCCAGAUCCAUUGACUCCAAACCACUUUCUGCUUGGAUGUACCAAUUCAACCCAGACUCCAGCACCGUUUGAGCCUAGACUGAUGUGUUUAAGGAAGCAGUGGCGCGUCACCCAAAAUUUGAAGAAUGGCAUGUGGCAUCAGUGGCUUCGGGAAUAUCUUCCAGAAUUAACUCGAAGAACAGAAUGGUGUCUUCCUUCUCGGUCGUUGGAUGUUGGUUGCCUUGUGUUUGUUUGUGAUCCAGAGAUGGCUUGGAGUCAAUGGAGACGUGAACGAGUCAUCGAAGUAUUCAGGGGCAAAGACGGAGUGGCACGAUCAGCCAAGGUGAGAACGAGUGCCGGUGUAUACCACAGACCUGUGUCCAAACUUGCCAUUUUGGACGUGGAAGCGUCUGGAGACGGAGUUGGUGAAGCCUCCCCCUCUGGGUCAGUUCACGGGGGUGGGGACGUUGGAGAUGGUAACCCUGCAAUUACCAAAGCUAAAAAAGUGUAGCCAAAUUUGAAAUACCACUGUCAUAAAUGGCCGAAAUAUCCCAAGCGAAGAGGGAGACGAAACUAACAGCCAGUUCCACGAUAUCGAAAGAACACGUUCGCACAACUUUUACACGACAAACAGCUGAUUUCCGUUCCACUAAAAUCUAUCAGAACGAAAAUUUGCACGAAAAUCAAAGCGAACGAAAACGUAAGCAUUUCAGUGUAAUUUUGCGUUCCACUAUCUUUUUUCUUUCGUACGCAUGCGAACACAAAUGUCAAAAUCAGUCACUUGUGUGUUUGCUAUCGUAUAAUAACAAUUAAGGAAAAUUGUUUUAACAUAAACAUUGCUUGAUUGAAAAUGGAAACAAAAAUCACGAAAAAAUCAUCAACUACACAGCUGCGGGCACUAGUUGAGUAAAUGGAGGAGAAUCCUGUGUUCGCCAGAGGAAUGCCAAUUUUUGGAAGCAGCAGAAGAAGUUUUAAAUCGGGGCGGAUUUGGGUAGUUCUGCAACCAUCAUAUCCAAAAGAGCCCGAAAACUUCCUUCGACACACGAAAGUUGGCCACAAACCUAGAAAAAAUCAUUUUUUAUUAUUUCAAAAAUGUAAAAAUACAAUCAUACUUACUGGUUGUUAGGUACUUCAAAUAAAUUCGAAGCAUCUCUUAAAUGCCUCCGUGGCACAUUUCGAACCUCCUCCAUAAAAAAUAGGGCUACGGAAA